AUCAUCGAGUCUUUGAACGCAAGUUGCGCCCGAAGCCAUCUGGUCGAGGGCACGUCUGCCUGGGCGUCACGCA
rnacentral:rRNA from 1 species